AUGCAAGUCGAGCGGUAGGCCCUUCGGGGUACACGAGCGGCGAACGGGUGAGUAACACGUGGGUGAUCUGCCUCGUACUUCGGGAUAAGCCUGGGAAACUGGGUCUAAUACCGGAUAGGACCUCUUGUCGCAUGGCUUGGGGUGGAAAGAUUUAUCGGUGCGAGAUGGGCCCGCGGCCUAUCAGCUUGUUGGUGGGGUAAUGGCCUACCAAGGCGACGACGGGUAGCCGGCCUGAGAGGGCGACCGGCCACACUGGGACUGAGACACGGCCCAGACUCCUACGGGAGGCAGCAGUGGGGAAUAUUGCACAAUGGGCGGAAGCCUGAUGCAGCGACGCCGCGUGAGGGAUGACGGCCUUCGGGUUGUAAACCUCUUUCGACAGGGACGAAGCGCAAGUGACGGUACCUGUAGAAGAAGCACCGGCCAACUACGUGCCAGCAGCCGCGGUAAUACGUAGGGUGCGAGCGUUGUCCGGAAUUACUGGGCGUAAAGAGCUUGUAGGCGGUUUGUCGCGUCGUCUGUGAAAACUCACAGCUCAACUGUGAGCUUGCAGGCGAUACGGGCAGACUUGAGUACUGCAGGGGAGACUGGAAUUCCUGGUGUAGCGGUGAAAUGCGCAGAUAUCAGGAGGAACACCGGUGGCGAAGGCGGGUCUCUGGGCAGUAACUGACGCUGAGAAGCGAAAGCGUGGGUAGCGAACAGGAUUAGAUACCCUGGUAGUCCACGCCGUAAACGGUGGGCGCUAGGUGUGGGUUUCCUUCCACGGGAUCCGUGCCGUAGCUAACGCAUUAAGCGCCCCGCCUGGGGAGUACGGCCGCAAGGCUAAAACUCAAAGGAAUUGACGGGGGCCCGCACAAGCGGCGGAGCAUGUGGAUUAAUUCGAUGCAACGCGAAGAACCUUACCUGGGUUUGACAUACACCGGAAACCUGCAGAGAUGUAGGCCCCCUUGUGGUCGGUGUACAGGUGGUGCAUGGCUGUCGUCAGCUCGUGUCGUGAGAUGUUGGGUUAAGUCCCGCAACGAGCGCAACCCUUGUCCUGUGUUGCCAGCACGUAAUGGUGGGGACUCGCAGGAGACUGCCGGGGUCAACUCGGAGGAAGGUGGGGACGACGUCAAGUCAUCAUGCCCCUUAUGUCCAGGGCUUCACACAUGCUACAAUGGGCGGUACAGAGGGCUGCGAGACCGUGAGGUGGAGCGAAUCCCUUAAAGCCGUUCUCAGUUCGGAUCGGGGUCUGCAACUCGACCCCGUGAAGUUGGAGUCGCUAGUAAUCGCAGAUCAGCAACGCUGCGGUGAAUACGUUCCCGGGCCUUGUACACACCGCCCGUCACGUCAUGAAAGUCGGUAACACCCGAAGCCGGUGGCCCAACCCU
rnacentral:rRNA from 1 species